GCAGGUAGCGGCACUAUUCGGGGGCGGUCGGCCUCAAACCAGAUAACUUCUAAUCCGACGGCCGCAGGUUCGAAUCCUGCCAGGUGCA
rnacentral:tRNA from 1 species